GAUGAACGCUAGCGGCAGGCCUAACACAUGCAAGUCGAGGGGUAGAGUUAGCUUGCUAACUUGAGACCGGCGCACGGGUGCGUAACGCGUAUGCAAUCUGCCUUGUACUGAGGGAUAGCCCAGAGAAAUUUGGAUUAAUACCUCAUAGUAUAUUCUGGUGGCAUCACCGGAUUAUUAAAGUUCCAACGGUACAAGAUGAGCAUGCGUCCCAUUAGUUAGUUGGUAAGGUAACGGCUUACCAAGACGAUGAUGGGUAGGGGUCCUGAGAGGGAGCUCCCCCACACUGGUACUGAGACACGGACCAGACUCCUACGGGAGGCAGCAGUGAGGAAUAUUGGUCAAUGGGCGCAAGCCUGAACCAGCCAUGCCGCGUGCAGGAUGAAGCAUCUAUGGUGUGUAAACUGCUUUUAUACGGGAAGAAACACUCCUACGUGUAGGAACUUGACGGUACCGUAAGAAUAAGGAUCGGCUAACUCCGUGCCAGCAGCCGCGGUAAAAC
rnacentral:rRNA from 1 species